rnacentral:tRNA from 1 species
UAGAGUGGUUCCGUAAGCA